AAGUCGUUUCUGAACCUGCGGAAGGAUCAUUAACACGUAUCCUACGGCUAACCACCCGUGCACCUUCAUCGAAAAACCCCCACCGUGCUCCUCCUUCUUCAGGGAGCUGGAGCCGGAAACCCCGAACAACUGUUAACAAUGGAUAACUUGGCUCUC
rnacentral:misc_RNA from 1 species